rnacentral:rRNA from 1 species
UACAGAGGUGGCAAGCGUUGUUCGGAAUUACUGGGCGUAAAGGGCGCGUAGGCGGUCUUGUAAGUCUUGUGUGAAAUCCCUCGGCUUAACUGAGGAACUGCACGGGAUACUGCGAGACUUGAGAUCGGGAGAGGGAAGCGGAAUUCCGGGUGUAGCGGUGAAAUGCGUAGAUAUCUGGAGGAACACCGGUGGCGAAGGCGGCAUCCUGGACCAACACUGACACUGAGGAGCGAAAGCCAGGGGAGCAAACGGG